UGUAGAGUCGAUCAAUUCAAUCGUAUAAUAUCUUCAGCGGUUUUGACUUUGUAAUAAUACUUAAUAUGCGUGUAAGUGUUACACUCGUAUGUGUUAAUGAUUUUAACGGAUGUAUCACUAGUGUUAUAAAUGAGAAGUUGGAAAGGUAGGAUAAAUAUUCGAGGUAUUUAAUGUAUGUCUGUACGCAACAGUAAAUUAUUACUAAUGAAAAACGAUUCU